rnacentral:rRNA from 1 species
AUUGAACGCUGGCGGCAGGCCUAACACAUGCAAGUCGAACGAGUGGCGGACGGGUGAGUAAUGUCUGGGAAACUGCCUGAUGGAGGGGGAUAACUACUGGAAACGGUAGCUAAUACCGCAUACCAUCGGAUGUGCCCAGAUGGGAUUAGCUAGUGGGUGGGGGAACGGCUCACCUAGGCGACGAUCCCUAGCGGGUCUGAGAGGAUGACCAGCCACACUGGAACUGAGACACGGUCCAGACUCCUACGGGAGGCAGCAGUGGGGAAGAUUGCACAAUGGGCGCAAGCCUGAGGCAGCCAUGCCGCGUGUAUGAAGAAGGCCUUCGGGUUGUAAAGUACUUUCAGCGGGGAGGCGGUACCCGCAGAAGAAGCACCGGCUAACUCCGUGCCAGCAGCCGCGGUAAUUC